UUGCAGCUAUGACCGAAGGUUACAGCGGCAGUGAUCUUAAGAAUCUUUGUGUUACAGCUGCUUACCGACCGGUUAGGGAGCUCCUGAAGAAAGAACGGUUGAAAGAGAUGGAAAGAAGGAAAACAGAGGUGGAACAGAAAACCGCCGCGGCAGCAGAGGAUUCAGACAAGUCAGAGAGCAAGAAGGUGAGUUCAGAUAACAAAGAAAACAA